rnacentral:lncRNA from 1 species
GGGAACUGGGAGGGUGGCCUGCCCUCAGCCUAGAGUCCAUCCUGUCCCUGCCUCCUCUCCUCUCCCCUCCAACACUGAGCCUCUGCCCUCAGACCAGAGUCCUGCUGCCCCACCCCCACUUCCCCUCCCCCAUCAGACCCAGCCUUUUCUCUCUGGCACAUGGGUCCUGGUGAGACUUGUCGCCCCCUAGAACUCUGCCUCCGCCCUCAGACAAGUCUCUCCCAGUCCUUGGAGGUGUUUCCCUCCCAAUCAGACCAGAGCUUCUGCACUCAGACUUUCUGCUUCUGCUCCUAUCCUACUAUUCAAUCGCCCUCCUCCAUCUGACCCAGCCUCUGUCUUCAGUCACCCAGGCUGGAGUGCAAUGGUGCAAUCUCGGCUCACUGCAACCUCUGCCACACGGGUUCAAGCAAUUCUCCUGUCUCAGCCUCCCGAGUAGCUGGGACUACAGGCACACGCCACCAUGCCUGGCUAAUUUUUGUAUAUUUAGUAGAGAUGGAGUUUCACCAUAUUGGCCAGGCUGGUCUCGAACUCCUGACCUUGUGAUCUGCCCACCUCGGCCUCCCAAAGUGCUAGGAUUAUGGGUGUGAGCCAUUGCGCCCAGCCUGUUUGUUUUUAAGAUACAGUCUCUCUCUAUUGCCCAGAAAAUGUGGCUACUUAGCUGGAGGUGAAGCUCUGCCAUCCACUUCACUGAAUGACUGGGGUCCGUCUCCACCUCUCGGAGCAAAACUGAAUAUUCGGGUGACCUACACAAUUGGUCAGACUAGGCUGGGCGUGGUGGUGGACACCUGUAAUCCCGGUGACCCAGGAGGCUGAGGCAGGAGGAUCACUUCAAUCUGGGAGGUGGAGGCUGCAGUGAGCUAUGAUCACGCCACUGCACUCUAGCCUGGGCGACAGAACAAGACCUUGUCUCUAAGAUAAUAAUAAAAAACACAAACAUAAAUAAAAAGAGCCAGGCCUAGAAAAGUUGGAAAAACAACUAAUGAUUCAGAGAAGCCGAGUGGCUUGCCCAGGAUCAUGCAGGAAGCAAGUUGGGAAACUGGGUCUUUCCCCCUUGGUGUCUCCAGAGCCACAGGACAUGAACAAAGACAUAGAGCCAGACCUACAGAUGGUGGAUGUUUUGAGGGGAUGAAUCCUGAGACUCUUUCCUUCAACUCUCUGAGUGGGAGAUGUCUGCCCUCUGGCCAAUUUUGCAGCAUGAUAAGGCCAGGUAGGCAGAGUGCAGGAGAAGGAGGACUGCUAUGGGAUGGGAGUCAGCGAGGGCUUCCUGGAGGAGGAGGCCUGGCACAUCGUGGCAGGUAAUGCAGGGGCAAGAAUAGCAAAAGCCAAGGCCCUGGGGUGGGGAGGAGCCUGGUAUGUUCAAGGGGCAGAAGGGAGGCUGAAGCAGAGUGAUCAAGCGGACAGGGCAGGCAGAGCCUCAAAUCCCAGACUGAGGAACAUGGUGAAGAGGACACUUCGGGGGUCCACACAUAAAGACGGAGACAGAGACUCAGGGCAGGAAAGUCACAUGCCCUGGGACACCCCAGUAAACAGAGCCAAAUUCAAACCUCAGCCUGUCUGCAGCUGACAUAGGAUGAAGUUGAAGGACGGGGUGAGGAAAAGGAGCUCAUGGUGAAGUCAGACAGAGUCCCCCCGGGGCAGGCCAGCGCAGCUCCCAGGAAAGCACAUAGGAGGUGCGUUUGCAUUCGGGGUGAGGAAUCUGGCAGGCUGGGAACAUGGCUCAUUCCUCCACCUCCAUCUUGUGACAGCUCUGACUGCUGCCCCCGCAGGAGGGUGCAGGGAGGAAGUGGAGGGCGGGAGGGCGAUGCAUUCCUCUUCUUCUGUCCCAAAGCUUUGGCCUCUAGCAGCCACUUGGAACAUUCUCUUCCUGUCUAACUGGUCAUUAGAAUAAUGGGGGCUCUGUGGGCAGAGGGUCGUCCAGGUUAGGAACCUGGGGGUGGGGCACAGCAGCAGCUGUGGGGUGGGGGUGGGAGGCUGCGUGGGAAUUGGAGCCUGGUGAAGGAGGGUGGCAGGCAGGGCAGGUCCCUUCUGCUGUUGUGGGAUUCUGGGGGUGUUCAGUGGUGCCUUUUGCUAUCCCGAAUCUCGGCCCCUAGAUGAGAGAAGCUUCAAGGCCCCAAGGAUUUCCCUGUCAGACCCAGGAGGCCUGAAGUGGCCUGGGUCCAAAGGGAACUGGGCCUGACACUCGCCAAAUGCUUCCAGGAGGGGGCUUUCUGGGAGGUGAAACCUCAGGCCAGGGUGGCCAUGCCACACUCACCCUGCUCUCAGUCCUACCUGCUUCUCUCCACCUCACACCUCUGCCCACCAGACCACCACGGGGGAUCACCUGGCCGCACACAGCAGCCUCCUGCCCCCAAAACUCAACAUGAGCCUGGGGGGGCUUUGAAAACUCGAACACCAGAUUGCAUCACCGGGUCCCAAACCUGCUGAUGGCUCCCGAGGGCUCUGGGAACAUUCAAACUCCAAACUCCUCACCAUGCCUAAGAGGCCCUUCUGUGUCUCCAGCCUCGUCAGCCAGUUCCCCACUACGUUCUAGCUCCUACCCACCCCUGAGAGCCCCCUCACUCCCCUCACUUAGCAUUUGAGGCCCCCCUCACCUCACCCCUUCACCCCAAGGUGAAGUCACAGCUCCUAAAACACUCUUCCCUAGACUGAGUCUGGACAUCGGCUGAGGGGACACGUGCCCUGCUAGGUGGGCAGUGGGCAGGAGCUGUUGGACGCAUCUGGUUCACAGUGAGGUCAACAGCCUUGCCUGGGGUCCCAUGUCACAAAGGCUGAGGAGGAUGAGGUGAGAGUCACAGCCACGGCGCCAGUUCUAGAUCCCAAACUCACCAACCUCUGGCAAACAGGCCCUGCGUUCCAAAUCUGCUCUAGCCAUGACUGCCUUCCCCAGGCCUGUUUCCUCCUCUGGACAAGGGAGGUGGUAGCAUUUGAGCUAAGCUCCGCUCUUCCCAUGUCGGCAAGUGGGGGCUGCAGCUCCAAGGCCCUGGGAGAGAUGGAGAGUGGGGGUGGGCCACGGUUGGGGUUCGGUGGGGGAGCGACCAGCGCUGCUGAUGAAUCAUUCAUGAGGGGCGGGCUGCCCCGGAGGCAGUUUCCCCAGCAACGCAGCUUAGUGUCUCCAGCAAGAUGCCAGGAGGGUCUCGGAUUCCCGGGAUUCCCAGGCCCGUCUUGGCCAUAUCCCUGCCUCCGGUUCCCCACCGUGGUCAUGCCUCUGCCGUUGAACCUCCAUCCCGGCUGUGCCCGUCUCCAGUCCCCGGACCCCAUUCUGUCCCAGCUAUGACCCUGCCUCCGGUCCUACGGGCUGCUCCUGGCCCCAUGGGAACCAUGCCCGUCUCCAGCUUCCCUCUCCCCAGCUGACCUGAGGAAAUGCCGCUCUUCGGGCGCCUCCGACGGGU